rnacentral:lncRNA from 1 species
AUGAGUUAGAGUCCGAUGCAGAAGAGCCGGAGACGGAAGUACCAACUGGAUGAGACGCGUGUGCUUCCUGCAUGUGGUGGAGGGGCCUGUACACAGCUGACAGGAAUACGGCGAGACCCACUGCAGGUCCAGAAACCACAGACUGCAUCCAGUACAUUGUAUACGUAUUAGUCGUAUUUAUGCUUCUCUCAGUAGCCUGUGUUGCCGACAUAUUUCCUACGCGAAGGGAAAUGCCUUCACGCCAGUCCAUGAGUUCUCUCCAGGAGAUGUCCCGCCGCGACAGAGCUCGUAACCCAUGUCCAUUCGUUCCGCACAAUGUCACGUUCAAGGAUGUGAAAAACGGAGGAACCCUUUUAUCUGCUGUCGGAGAUGGAUAUUCCCGAUGCCCCGACAGGAAAGGGGAAUGUGCGAAUUUCAUAUCAACCUGAUUUUCGUCUCGAGAAGGACUCUUGCGCAUUUUCUCAUGUAGUGGAGACGAGGAAGAUGACGGCAUCGCCCUGAUUGUCAACUGGAUGUUCACAGGCUCGGACCUGAUUCUGCGGGGACUGAGGCGCUCGUGAAGGAGAUCAAGAGCUUCUAGAACAAUGCUAAGGUCUUUUUCUUCAGAUACGGCAAUGAACAGAUUCUCAUCUCCAGAAAUGCUGUUUCUGCCCAGAUUCCUCUGGUACGAUUGUCUAGCCAAUAAAGGUCCGGCGUUGUCAC